rnacentral:lncRNA from 10 species
CAGCACACCUGUGACCAGUAUGUACACAACCACCCUCAUGCCUCCUACCCCCGAGGUUCCUAGAGCUAGGCUCUCCUGAGGCAAUGCUUUCCUUCUCAAUUCAUAUUCUUCCAGGAGGGGCACCAACGUUUUUUAAAAUGAUGUUGGCGACGAGGACGGUAAAUUUUCUAGAUGACUGAAGGCUGACUUUCCCCUUUCUGUGACUCUCUAGGCAACACCGUGACAGGAGAGACGACUCCCUUUUCUCCUCUUGUGGCCACUUCUGAAUCUGUGACCGAAAUCACAGCCAGUAGCUUUGUGGUCUCCUGGGUCUCAGCUUCCGACACCGUGUCGGGAUUCCGGGUGGAAUAUGAGCUGAGUGAGGAGGGAGAUGAGCCACAGUACCUGGAUCUUCCAAGCACAGCCACUUCUGUGAACAUCCCUGACCUGCUUCCUGGCCGAAAAUACAUUGUAAAUGUCUAUCAGAUAUCUGAGGAUGGGGAGCAGAGUUUGAUCC